AUGAAUCAACAGCAGGAGAAAGGCCACCUAGAGUUUCUCUCUGGGAAAUUGAGCCAUUGACAACCUUUCCAAUGUAUCCAUCCCUGUUCCCACUGCGAGUUAAGCAUCCUUGGUAUUCUGGAGUUGCUGCUCUUCAUGGUACGCUUCAGAUACUCAUGCUUGUUUCUUGAAGGAAUACUCAUGCUUGUUACUAUGACUCUGAAUCCAGCAUCUCUUUUGUUGGAAUUAUUUUCCUGCAUUUUUGCUAUUAGUGUCACUGUCACACCAGUAGCAUUGCAGGAGUUGGCAUUCUUAGCAUUUACCUUCUAAUGGGUUUUGCCCAGUAUGAAUGCAAGUUAGUUAUUCGUAAUUGGAGCUGUUAGAUCAAACCAUUGAUGGAAACUAGCAGUAAAACUAUAAUACAACUGAGAGGUGGAUAUAUUCUAAGCAUAUAUACCAAAUUCCCAGCAUUGAAGCACCAUGACAUGAUAGACCAACGUUAUUUCACUUAUUUGCUGAAGCCCUUCAUUUAUAUUUUAUACAAAUUGUGUCAUUACGGUCCUUGCUAUUCCUUCUCAUUAUGGUUUUAUUGAUUGUCAUAUUACACUUAAGAUGACAGCAAUGCUUUGAUGUGGCUGAGAGGAGUUGCUGGUGAAGGAGGCUUCCAGUCUUUCAACUUCCAGUCACCUGGUAUAGGUUCCUGGGGACAACAGCGACUCCAUCCAUCCUUACUUAGCAAUGACCACGAUCAGUAUCAAGCAGUGGUUGCUGCUGCAGCUGCUUCCCAGUCCGGUGGUUAUCUGAAGCAGCAAUUCCUACACCUUCAACAGCCUAUGCAGUCCCCUCAGGAACAGUGCAACCUCAACCCGCUGCUGCAGCAACAGAUUAUGCAGCAAGCGAGCCAACAGCAACUUGUUAGUCCUGAUUCUCAAAAUAUUCAGUCUGUGCUCAGCCCAAGUGCUAUCCAGCAGCAGCUCCACCAACUCCAGCAAAUGCAGCAUGCUCAUAAUGACCAGAAGCAGAAGAUUCAACCAGAUCAACCUUAUCAAGUUCCUACCAGUGCGGUUCUCCCUAGCCCAACGUCAUUACCAAGCCAUUUGCGUGAAAAAUUUGGCUUCUCUGAUCCCAAUGUG
rnacentral:lncRNA from 1 species